rnacentral:rRNA from 1 species
UACAGAGGGGGCAAGCGUUGUUCGGAAUUACUGGGCGUAAAGGGCGCGUAGGCGGCCUGUUAAGUCGAACGUGAAAUCCCCGGGCUCAACCCGGGAACUGCGUCCGAUACUGGCAGGCUUGAAUCCGGGAGAGGGAUGUGGAAUUCCAGGUGUAGCGGUGAAAUGCGUAGAUAUCUGGAGGAACACCGGUGGCGAAGGCGGCGUUCUGGACUGCAACUGACACUGAUGAACGAAAGCCAGGGGAGCAAACGGG